rnacentral:rRNA from 1 species
UACGGGGGGGGCAAGCGUUGUUCGGAAUUACUGGGCGUAAAGGGCUCGUAGGCGGCCAACUAAGUCGGACGUGAAAUCCCUCGGCUUAACCGGGGAACUGCGUCCGAUACUGGAUGGCUCGAGGAUGGGAGAGGGAUGCGGAAUUCCAGGUGUAGCGGUGAAAUGCGUAGAUAUCUGGAGGAACACCGGUGGCGAAGGCGGCAUCCUGGACCAUUACUGACGCUGAAUAGCGAAAGCCAGGGGAGCAAACGGG